AUUGAACGCUGGCGGCAGGCCUAACACAUGCAAGUCGAGCGGUAACACAGGGAGCUUGCUCCUGGGUGACGAGCGGCGGACGGGUGAGUAAUGUCUGGGAAACUGCCUGAUGGAGGGGGAUAACUACUGGAAACGGUAGCUAAUACCGCAUAACGUCGCAAGACCAAAGAGGGGGACCUUCGGGCCUCUUGCCAUCAGAUGUGCCCAGAUGGGAUUAGCUAGUAGGUGGGGUAACGGCUCACCUAGGCGACGAUCCCUAGGGGGUCUGAGAGGAUGACCGGCCAGACGGGAACUGAGACACGGGCCAGACUCCUACGGGAGGCAGCAGUGGGGAAUAUUGCACAAUGGGCGCAAGCCUGAUGCAGCCAUGCCGGGUGUAUGAAGAAGGCCUUCGGGUUGUAAAGUACUUUCAGCGGGGAGGAAGGUGUUGAGGUUAAUAACCUCAGCAAUUGACGUUACCCGCAGAAGAAGCACCGGCUAACUCCGUGCCAGCCGCCGCGGUAA
rnacentral:rRNA from 1 species